GACGAACGCUGGCGGCGUGCUUAACACAUGCAAGUCGAGCGGUAAGGCCCUUUCGGGGGUACGACGAGCGGCGAACGGGUGAGUAACACGUGGGUGGACCUGCCCUCCAGCUCUGGGAGUAAGCCUCGGGAAACCGGGGUACCGUAAUAACCGGAGUAUGACUCCAUGACGCAUGUUGUGGGGUGGAAAGCCUUGUGCGGCUGAGGAUGGGCCCGCCGGCCUAUCAGCUUGUUGGUGGGGUGAUGGCCGUACCAAGGCGACGACGGGUAGCCGGCCUGAGAGGGCG
rnacentral:rRNA from 1 species